rnacentral:rRNA from 1 species
AAAUUGAAGAGUUUGAUCAUGGCUCAGAUUGAACGCUGGCGGCAGGCCUAACACAUGCAAGUCGAACGGUAGCACAGAGAGCUUGCUCUCGGGUGACGAGUGGCGGACGGGUGAGUAAUGUCUGGGAAACUGCCUGAUGGAGGGGGAUAACUACUGGAAACGGUAGCUAAUACCGCAUAACGUCGCAAGACCAAAGAGGGGGACCUUCGGGCCUCUUGCCAUC